ensembl:lncRNA
UUGAGAUCAUCAAGUCUUUCUUUGAUGAUAAUUUGGUCACAGUUAAACUGACAGUAAUGAGAACUACAGAGCAUUCACUAAUCACUUUUCAUUAACACUGUUGGCUUUGUUUUAAUUAGCUGUUCUGAAUGACACCAGUGUUUCUGUCACACUGUAUUCCUUAGCUUACAUUAUCCAACUGUUGUGUUUACCUUAUACUGUACAUCUGUUUUACAUUUAGUUGUUAAAAAUAUUUAAGAAUUUUUCGAUGAGGACAUUUUUUUGUUGCAAAAAGUCACACAAAACACAGGGUUAUUAUAUAAGUUUUACAUUUAUUUAUAAAACAUAUUUACAGUAUGUUAAUUUGAAUCAUUUGCAUAUGUAAACACAAUUUGCAUGCAUGUAUACCUUUAAGAAUUGCAUGCAAUCAAGUGAGAAAUCUGUAUUAUGGCUAUAAAAAACCAAAACAAAAUCCCUUAAGACUGCAACAUUAACUACAUCCACUGUUGAAAAGUGUUGAAAAAAAUUAGUAUGAAACUAUUUUUUUAGAGCUUUUCAAAACUGUGAAAUAUUAAAUCUGUUCCAUCAGUGGUAUAAAUGGCAACAUUUCAAUGACAAAAUGAAAAUGACAUUUUGGCUUGAGGCUGGAACUUAAUGAAAGUAUAUUGAGCACCCAAAUUAAAAGGAUUUGUGCUGUAGGGGAGUAUAAGUAAAUGUGCUCAAUAAAUCUGUUGAAUUCUUUUGAUCAAGAUCAUUCUUGUGUGAUGUGUUCCUUUUCUUUCUUCUUUUUGCUGACGGUUCCAGUAGAUGAGAAUCCAGAAGGAGAAGCUGACCAAAUGACUGAACAGCAAAAGUCUCUGCAAACAGAACAGUGAGAGAUCAUAACAGCACAUGUAUGUAUCAAUUUAUAGCAAAUUUGACCAGCCUGGUUCAAGACCUUAACAAAUUGGUUCUCUGUUGAGUUUGUGACCAUUUUAAACUGCAUAAAGAAUGAAGUCUUUAAAAGGCUGACCCAUCAACAUAAAACCACACUGAAAACACUUCCUCAAAUCAAGAGCAGCUUUUUCUUUAGAAAAUAACGUGAAAGCAACUCAUCACAUUUGAGAAACAACAGAUCCCACAGGACAGACACUGAGGCACGAAUAAUACA